ACUUGCCCGCAGGAAACACGAGCUGCAUUCAGCUUCAUGUGUGCCUGCCCGCGCUGCUCUUCUACGAACAUCUACUUCCUAAACCGUGAGGCCUCGACUUUGUUUAUUUUGUGGGGUAGGGGACAUUCAUGUACCACGGUACACAGAUAGAGUUCUUUCCCACAGGGUCGCUAGGUGCACGCAUCCCCAGCCUGGAGUUGAGUUAUAGUGCCGGACUGUGUGCAACUGUAUCAGACGAAACACUGAGGGAUAUGACUUCAGACCUCAGCUCCUCAUUACGUCAUGGAGGAGCAAUCAGCUGCAGAUCCUAAGAGCGGGAAGCCGUAGCUGUUCCUGAAUGUGAGCAAAAGAGUCACACCUGGAGGGACCUCAGGGAAUGGACAGACUUCCGUGUCCUACUCUGCGCUUUGUGCCUCUGGACAGCACAGUUGAGUUCCGUGUGACCGGAAGGGACGGUCACCUCUGUAGAGUGCAGUGAGUGAUCUGAGGAUCGCACAAGCUCGGACUGAAGGGCCAGUGUGUGACCUCACUUCACCACAGGCAUGACAUUUCCCACCCCACGUAUAAUAGUUAUGCUUUCUCUGCUCCUAUUUCCAUGGGCCACAAAGAGUAUUCUGAUGAUACAAGCUGAUACAGGUUCAGAAAAGCCACUUAGACAGCUUCACAGCUGCUGCUAAGCCUGAAAAUAAACAGACUUCUAUUUGUUCAAUCACCUUGAAAGGCGAGGUCCCUGCCACUCUCAGACUUCAUCAGAGACAUUCCUUUGUAUAGUGGAUGAUGACGAACACAGGCACUCACAACUGGAGAUGACCAAGAUGCUGCACUCAAGGACUCAGAGCCACUGUGGCUGCCUGCACAAGACUUACUCACUAAUCAAACCAGUCCACACGCUGACACAGAAAGGGGGUGGCUCGGGAGCCCCCUUGAUUGGAAGAGCUAUUGACAGUUGAUGGAUUCUGGUGGAAGAAAUGCCAACUUUCUUUGUCUUUAAAGAUGCAACAUCUGAUAGCUUAGUGGAUGGCCUCCCACUCAGGACUGUGUGGGUUACACAAACUGGACUUUGAUACAAAUCUGGAGAUUGGUGGUAGGAGGUAGGGGUAUGUCUAGAAGGUAAGAAGGACAAAUAUGAUCACAUGUAUUAUUUACAUAUAUGAAAAUUUCAAAAAAUAAAAAUUAUUUUAAUAGAAAGAAAGCAUAGAGAAAAUAAUUAUGGAGAAAAACUUAGGUGUGUGCUUCACAGAUAAUACUAAAACAAUCAUGCCAUUUUCCUGGGUGUUGUAUGUUUGUUGGAUUAUUAAAUGUAAAGUUUAUUGUGAUUUUUUCUCUUCACAAACAAUAUUUAUUUUUUAUCUACUUACAAAUUUCUGAUUCUGUACUUUUUAUGAUGGUUGGUUCUUCAAAUCAUAGAAGGUUCUGUCCCUUCGAAGCCUGUAUCUGCCUUAGAUUUAGCCCCUACAGAUAUCAGAUAUCUAUGUGUCCAGUAUAAAGUAUUAUGAGCAUAUUUACCCCAUGUCAUACUUUUGAAGAUCUUAAACAUUUAAAUAA